UUCCCGCGCCGGCAGUCGAACCCGGGCCGCCUGGGUGAAAGCCAGGAAUCCUAACCGCUAGACCACGCGGGA
rnacentral:tRNA from 11 species